rnacentral:lncRNA from 1 species
UUCUGUGUGUGAUAAUGGCUGCCCGACGUCCGCGCGUUGUGGCCUUUAUGUGGCCAGUUUUUCCGCGAUGAAACCUGGGCUAUUUUGCCGUUGAUUUUCGGAGGGACGUGGUGGUUUUUCAGAUUGAAGGUCCCAAGCCCUUAGACAAAAGCAGAGGGAAAACCAUUGCUGCAGAGCUUGGACAGGGAGUCGUGUGCAGUCAAGCAUGAUAGUGAUUACAAGAAGCACUAUGGCAUUUAGAGAGGUUUCAUAGCCUACCAUUCCCGAGCAGUUUUUUGUACCAGCUUCAUUACCCCCGUUGUGCGCUUUGGAGAAAUCUAAUUUCAUGAAAAAUAACGCCUCUGUUUAAGAAUACUGGUUCAUUGUCAUCAACAUUAAGCAUUCCGGAUAGCUUUUCAAAUAAAUCUUCCCACGGAAGGCAGUGUGUGUAUGCAACAAAGAACUAAGUUUGCCCCUCCUAAAUAUAAGUUCAUAUCUAUAAUGAACAGUUGAGCUUUAAGAUUUUGUUCCAAUGCAUCACUGGUGAGUAAGGCAUAUUUGGCUAGUCUUUGUUCCAUCAUCGUAUGUGAAAGUGACCACAUGUGGGAAAUAAAGCUGAGUGCCUGAAAACAUAACAAUUAUUCCCAAGAAUGCUUCUUUUUCUGUCAUUGUCCUGAAACUUGUUCAAAAAUAUUAGCAAAGCAACUUGAUGAUAUCAACGCACUCGAUUCAUAGAGUCCUAACAGACAAUAUAUUUACCUUGGAGGUUCAUACCUUUUGGUGUCCCUGUUCAGAUAAUGGCUUUCCCUCUGCUUUGUGUAAGGGCUUGGGACCUUCAUAUCCAAGGCAAAGAUGGACAUGAAAUGAAACUUUCUGUUGUUUGUUCAAGUAUUUUAAUGCGUGUAAAUGUUGAUUCUGUGUUUUUAUCCCCCAUCAUACAAUUGUGUCCAUCUUUGCCCUGAAUUCGGCAGCAUUAAAAACCAUUUUUUUUUUUUUUUUGGG